GGGUUGUGAGGUUAAGCGAAUAAGCGUACACGGUGGAUGCCUAGGCAGUCAGAGGCGAUGAAGGACGUGCUAAUCUGCGAUAAGCGCCGGUAAGGUGAUAUGAACCGUUAUAACCGGCGAUUUCCGAAUGGGGAAACCCAGUGUGAUUCGUCACACUAUCAUUACCUGAAUACAUAGGGUAAUGAAGCGAACCGGGAGAACUGAAACAUCUAAGUACCCCGAGGAAAAGAAAUCAAACGAGAUUCCCCCAGUAGCGGCGAGCGAACGGGGAGCAGCCCAGGACCUUAAUCA
rnacentral:rRNA from 1 species